GGCCGGUUAGCUCAGUGAUUUGAGCGCGGUGCUGACUACAAUGACAACACCGAGGUCGCGGGUUUGAUUCCCGCUCGGUCC
rnacentral:tRNA from 1 species